rnacentral:rRNA from 1 species
AUAACAGGUUGAUAUUCCUGUACCACCUAUAAUCGUUUUAAUCGAUGGGGGGGACGCAGUAGGAUAGGCGAAGCGUGCGAUUGGAUUGCACGUCUAAGCAGUAAGGCUGAGUAUUAGGCAAAUCCGGUACUCGUUAAGGCUGAGCUGUGAUGGGGAGAAGACAUUGUGUCUUCGAGUCGUUGAUUUCACACUGCCGAGAAAAGCCUCUAGAUAGAAAAUAGGUGCCCGUACCGCAAACCGACACAGGUAGUCAAGAUGAGAAUUCUAAGGUGAGCGAGCGAACUCUCGUUAAGGAACUCGGCAAAAUGACCCCGUAACUUCGGGAGAAGGGGUGCUCUUUAGGGUUAACGCCCAGAAGAGCCGCAGUGAAUAGGCCCAAGCGACUGUUUAUCAAAAACACAGGUCUCUGCUAAACCGUAAGGUGAUGUAUAGGGGCUGACGCCUGCCCGGUGCUGGAAGGUUAAGAGGAGUGGUUAGCUUCUGCGAAGCUACGAAUCGAAGCCCCAGUAAACGGCGGCCGUAACUAUAACGGUCCUAAGGUAGCGAAAUUCCUUGUCGGGUAAGUUCCGACCCGCACGAAAGGCGUAACGAUUUGGGCACUGUCUCAACGAGAGACUCGGUGAAAUCAUAGUACCUGUGAAGAUGCAGGUUACCCGCGACAGGACGGAAAGACCCCGUGGAGCUUUACUGUAGCCUGAUAUUGAAAUUCGGCACAGCUUGUACAGGAUAGGUAGGAGCCUUUGAAACGUGAGCGCUAGCUUACGUGGAGGCGCUGGUGGGAUACUACCCUAGCUGUGUUGGCUUUCUAACCCGCACCACUUAUCGUGGUGGGAGACAGUGUCAGGCGGGCAGUUUGACUGGGGCGGUCGCCUCCUAAAAGGUAACGGAGGCGCUCAAAGGUUCCCUCAGAAUGGUUGGAAAUCAUUCAUAGAGUGUAAAGGCAUAAGGGAGCUUGACUGCGAGACCUACAAGUCGAGCAGGGUCGAAAGACGGACUUAGUGAUCCGGUGGUUCCGCAUGGAAGGGCCAUCGCUCAACGGAUAAAAGCUACCCCGGGGAUAACAGGCUUAUCUCCCCCAAGAGUUCACAUCGACGGGGAGGUUUGGCACCUCGAUGUCGGCUCAUCGCAUCCUGGGGCUGUAGUCGGUCCCAAGGGUUGGGCUGUUCGCCCAUUAAAGCGGUACGCGAGCUGGGUUCAGAACGUCGUGAGACAGUUCGGUCCCUAUCCGUCGUGGGCGUAGGAAAUUUGAGAGGAGCUGUCCUUAGUACGAGAGGACCGGGAUGGACAUACCUCUGGUGUACCAGUUGUCGUGCCAACGGCAUAGCUGGGUAGCUAUGUGUGGACGGGAUAAGUGCUGAAAGCAUCUAAGCAUGAAGCCCCCCUCAAGAUGAGAUUUCCCAACUUCGGUUAUAAGAUCCCUCAAAGAUGAUGAGGUUAAUAGGUUCGAGGUGGAAGCAUGGUGACAUGUGGAGCUGACGAAUACUAAUCGAUCGAAGACUUAAUCAA